AGUUGGCCUACUGCACAGGAACGGGUUUCCCCUCGCAGCGCCAAGGGGGAUGAGCCUCGCCAGCAGCGGCCAAGGCCGGAAAGGCGAAAUACACAGCGUCGGGUAGAGUUUGGUAGGGUCCUCGGAUCUCGAAGAAGUCAGGCCCA
rnacentral:sRNA from 12 species